AUUGAACGCUGGCGGCAGGCCUAACACAUGCAAGUCGAACGGUAACAGGAAGAAGCUUGCUUCUUUGCUGACGAGUGGCGGACGUGUGAGUAAUGUCUGUGAAACUGCCUGAUGGAGGGGGAUAACUACUGGAAACGGUAGCUAAUACCGCAUAACGUCGCAAGACCAAAGAGGGGGACCUUCGGGCCUCUUGCCAUCGGAUGUGCCCAGAUGGGAUUAGCUAGUAGGUGGGGUAACGGCUCACCUAGGCGACGAUCCCUAGCUGGUCUGAGAGGAUGACCAGCCACACUGGAACUGAGACACGGUCCAGACUCCUACGGGAGGCAGCAGUGGGGAAUAUUGCACAAUGGGCGCAAGCCUGAUGCAGCCAUGCCGCGUGUAUGAAGAAGGCCUUCGGGUUGUAAAGUACUUUCAGCGGGGAGGAAGGGAGUAAAGUUAAUAACUUUGCUCAUUGACGUUACCCGCAGAAGAAGCACCGGCUAACUCCGUG
rnacentral:rRNA from 1 species